CUUAUUUAUAGAAAUCUACUAAAGUAUGAAUAAAUACCUACGCAAGAGUAACAUAACAACAUAAAAUGUACUAAUUAAGGUUCAAUGGACUGGCACUGGUUUCACCAAGAACGAUGAGCGAGAAGCGAUUGGAGCUACAAAAUAAGAAAUGAGUUGGCGCGCGAGCAGCGAGAAGCGAGUAUAGUUCUGGGAGUGCGCAAAAGAAUUGCACGACCUGAUCCCAGCUUUCCCUUUCCGGACGUCCAGGCGCGAGGAGCGAAUGCACCCGUUCGUUGUUAAUAUUCCAUUUGUCCGCACAAAACGAUUUGCCUCAUCUUUUUUGGUAAGGACGAUUAAGGAAUGGAAUGCGCUUCCGUCAUCUGUGUUUCCUGGGAAAUUUGACCUCGGUCUCUUUAAAGCAAGAGUGAAUAGGCUAUUACUUACUGAGCCGGUAAGCUCCAUCAUCUUAGGCUCUGUUUUCACUUUCCAUCAGGUGUGACUAGAGCCAAUGCCCGUUCAGUUUAUUAUAAAAAAUAUAUAUACAAAGAG